rnacentral:ribozyme from 1 species
UGCCCAGCAACUCCUAUCCCUACCUCCUCGCGGUACUGGCCGGGGGACGAGUAAUCUUAGGGAAGAUCGGGUAGGCAACCCCGGAGGGAACACUGGUCGUAUGCUGACAGGGAAGG